AUUGAACGCUGGCGGCAGGCCUAACACAUGCAAGUCGGACGGUAGCACAGAGGAGCUUGCUCCUCGGGUGACGAGUGGCGGACGGGUGAGUAAUGUCUGGGGAUCUGCCCGAUAGAGGGGGAUAACCACUGGAAACGGUGGCUAAUACCGCAUAACGUCGCAAGACCAAAGAGGGGGACCUUCGGGCCUCUCACUAUCGGAUGAACCAAGAUGGGAUUAGCUAGUAGGCGGGGUAAUGGCCCACCUAGGCGACGAUCCCUAGCUGGUCUGAGAGGAUGACCAGCCACACUGGAACUGAGACACGGUCCAGACUCCUACGGGAGGCAGCAGUGGGGAAUAUUGCACAAUGGGCGCAAGCCUGAUGCAGCCAUGCCGCGUGUAUGAAGAAGGCCUUCGGGUUGUAAAGUACUUUCAGCGGGGAGGAAGGCGGUGCGGUUAAUAACCGCGCCGAUUGACGUUACCCGCAGAAGAAGCACCGGCUAACUCCGUGCCAGCCGCCGCGGUAA
rnacentral:rRNA from 1 species